rnacentral:rRNA from 1 species
UCUGACUNGAGUGCAGAAGGGGAGAGUGGAAUUCCAUGUGUAGCGGUGAAAUGCGUAGAUAUAUGGAGGAACACCAGUGGCGAAAGCGGCUCUCUGGUCUGUCACUGACGCUGAGGCUCGAAAGCGUGGGUAGCGAACAGGAUUAGAUACCCUGGUAGUCCACGCCGUAAACGAUGAGUGCUAGGUGUUAGGCCCUUUCCGGGGCUUAGUGCCGGAGCUAACGCAAUAAGCACUCCGCCUGGGGAGUACGACCGCAAGGUUGAAACUCAAAGGAAUUGACGGGGGCCCGCACAAGCGGUGGAGCAUGUGGUUUAAUUCGAAGCAACGCGAAGAACCUUACCAGGUCUUGACAUCCCGAUGCUAUUCUUAGAGAUAGGAAGUUACUUCGGUACAUCGGAGACAGGUGGUGCAUGGUUGUCGUCAGCUCGUGUCGUGAGAUGUUGGGUUAANNNNNNNNACGAGCGCAACCCUUAUUGUUAGUUGCCAUCAUUAAGUUGGGCACUCUAGCGAGACUGNCGGUAAUAAACCGGAGGAAGGUGGGGAUGACGUCAAAUCAUCAUGCCCCUUAUGACCUGGGCUACACACGUGCUACAAUGGUCGGUACAACGAGUUGCGAGCCGGUGACGGCAAGCUAAUCUCUGAAAGCCGAUCUCAGUUCGGAUUGGAGGCUGCAAC